AGCAGCCGCCGCGGUAAUGCGUAGGUGGCAAGCGUUGUCCGGAAUUAUUGGGCGUAAAGGGCUCGCAGGCGGUCUCUUAAGUCUGAUGUGAAAGCCCCCGGCUCAACCGGGGAGGGUCAUUGGAAACUGGGAAACUUGAGUGCAGAAGAGGAGAGUGGAAUUCCACGUGUAGCGGUGAAAUGCGUAGAGAUGUGGAGGAACACCAGUGGCGAAGGCGACUCUCUGGUCUGUAACUGACGCUGAGGAGCGAAAGCGUGGGGAGCGAACAGGAUUAGAGACCCCUGUAGUCCCUGUCUCUUAUAA
rnacentral:rRNA from 1 species